CUCCUCGUAGUUCAAUGGAUAGAACGGGCGCCUCCUAAGCGCCAGAUACAGGUUCGAUUCCUGUCGAGGGGACCA
rnacentral:tRNA from 5 species